rnacentral:lncRNA from 1 species
CCGAUCUUUUCCAAAUAUAUAUGCAAAUCUAUCAAACAGUGGAAAAAGUUUGCUUCUCCAUCCAUCGGCUUCUUUAUUUCUCUAAGAUUAUAUCAACAUAGCAAAACUAAAAUUUAGCAUGCGUAACAAAUAUAGCAGCAAGAAUAUAACUAAUGCAUAAAUAAAAUAGGAUAUGAACCUGCACAUAAGUUUGUCAUGCGUCAUCACUGUCAACUUCAACGCACUUUUUGACAUCAUUCCAUGCAAAUCCACUUGUGUUUAUCAUGUCAACGACCCUACUAUAUGUUUUUUUCCAUUUCUUCAACUUGGACUCAAUAUGUGGAUUUGCCUUUAUAUUUGAAUGAGGACAUAAAACAUUGACAGCUUUUGCUAUUUCAACCAAAGUACCUUGUUUGAAAGCACCGGUGUCACACCGUUGCUUCCGAGCAACAAAAUCCUCAAGAACUCCUAGUAAUACUUCUUCCUCAAAUGCUUCCCAUUUACGCCUUCUUCCUUUUGGCUCUUGAGUAGCAUUCAAAAAAUUUUCGUUAUCCAUACCUAAACAAAAAAUAUUUUAAUGAAGGAAAAUACCAUACAAAUAAUCAAUUUGCAUAAUAUCCAAUCAACUUGCAUAAUAUCCAAUCAACUUGCAUAAUAUCCAAUUAAUUUGCAUACCAUCCAAUCAUUGUGCUAAUAUCUAACAAAUGCAUGAUAAAAACGAAUACUAAAAUAAAAUGUUAUCAUUAACACAUAUAGCUAGUUCGGUUGCUGGUUCCUAAUUGCUCUCCACUCAUUAUACAUUUCCUGAGCCAUAUCAUUCCUUAUUGCAGUCCACUGGUCCGAUGUUUGAACACUACCAA